rnacentral:rRNA from 1 species
UGGGGAAUAUUGCACAAUGGGCGCAAGCCUGAUGCAGCCAUGCCGCGUGUGCGAAGAAGGCCUUCGGGUUGUAAAGCACUUUCAGUAAGGAGGAAAGGUUAAGUGUUAAUAGCGCUUAGCUGUGACGUUACUUACAGAAGAAGCACCGGCUAACUCCGUG